UGCAUGUAUGUUUGUGGACCACACAUGUGC
rnacentral:piRNA from 2 species